rnacentral:tRNA from 1 species
GCUCCAGUGGCGCAAUCGGUUAGCGCGCGGUACUUAUAGGGCAGUACUUGUGGUGCGAGAAAUGCCGAGGUUGUGAGUUCGAUCCUCACCUGGAGCA